rnacentral:rRNA from 1 species
AGUGAACGCUGGCGGUAGGCCUAACACAUGCAAGUCGAACGGCAGCACAGUAAGAGCUUGCUCUUACGGGUGGCGAGUGGCGGACGGGUGAGGAGUACAUCGGAAUCUACUUUUUCGUGGGGGAUAACGUAGGGAAACUUACGCUAAUACCGCAUACGACCUACGGGUGAAAGCAGGGGAUCUUCGGACCUUGCGCGAUUGAAUGAGCCGAUGUCGGAUUAGCUAGUUGGCGGGGUAAAGGCCCACCAAGGCGACGAUCCGUAGCUGGUCUGAGAGGAUGAUCAGCCACACUGGAACUGAGACACGGUCCAGACUCCUACGGGGGGCAGCAGUGGGGAAUAUUGGACAAUGGGCGCAAGCCUGAUCCAGCCAUACCGCGUGGGUGAAGAAGGCCUUCGGGUUGUAAAGCCCUUUUGUUGGGAAAGAAAAGCAGCAGGUUAAUACCCCGCUGUUCUGACGGUACCCAAAGAAUAAGCACCGGCUAACUUCGUG